AGAGAGAGAGAGAGAGAGACUGCAGUGUCAGUGAAAGAUGGCAGGCCAGCAGCCCCGGUACUUAUCCAUACUCAACUUUCAAAUCGGUUAGUGGGACACAUUUGGCACUGCCUUCUGGAUAAUAGGAACAGCUGUAGCCAAUAUGGCUUCGGAAACAGCCAAACCACUGUUGAGAAAAUUAGAAUUUGUCAAUUUUCAAAAUUAGAAUGAAAUAAAAGUACAAACGAAUCAAUCUGUAAAGAACGAUAGAAACGUUUACCGUGCUUUUAAUCCUCAAAAUGUUUUGCAACUAGUCUCAGCUGGGUGAGUGUUAUCCCUCAUUGCACAGGUGGGCAAACUGAGGCAGAGAGGGGCAGCGAUAUGCCAAGCUGAUUGGAAAAAUGGCAAAAAAUCCAUCAUUUUUCCCCAUAAAACAAAUGUCAUCAUAAUUUUAAAUCUUUGCAAACCACUUCCUAGUGGUAGUGCUAUGCUGAAGGGAAGCAGCACUUACACGGCCUGCGCUGUGUGUUGGUGGGAUGGAGCGUGUACCCGACACAGGCUAUGCAUGGAUUAAAUGUGGCUGUGAGGCCAGUUCUGUUAGCGGGCUGCACCUGGAGGCAGAGCCAGGCUUAAUUGAUUAUGAGGCCCAGCUGGGCAGAAGCCUGGCUUGUACAAGGAGAAGAAGUUUGUAGCAGAAGGGGGCUGUAAUGGGGGAGUCUGCAGCCACCAUCUGGGAGCAGACAAAUGGUGAGGAGGAAACCAGGGGUGAAUAAACCCUGAAUCCUAGCCCUGGAAGAAGGGCCAACCCAGAGAAGUUGUGGGGAAAGGGAGCCUGGGAGAGGCUGGGUAGGAAGGAGCCCAGGGAAACAACAGCAAGGAGGGGGAUGGGGCAGACCGUGGCUGCUGGUUAUAGGCUCCCUGGGCUGGAACCCUGUGUAGAGGGAGGGCCUGGCUUCCUUACCAGCCACUGACCAAAGAGGCAUGAGCCCAGAGCCCGGGCUGGAGACCUGACACAACACCUAGGAAUUACUUGUUGGACUUUAUCAUCAAAUAUCGACAAACAUCGUCGCCUGGCAGGCGGGAAGCGAGGCCGCCACAGCACCGGAACAACUGUCAGCAGGGGGCACCGUAUGGGGAGAGAGCUGCUACGCCACCCCCGGCUCCAGCGCCGACAGUAAAUACGUGGUUCAGCGAUUCCUGACUGGGCCCUGGUGCAAAGUGAUGCCCUGCCCUUCCCCGGACCAGCAUCACAGCCGGGCUAGCUCCGAACUGAGAAAAUGGAUGUUGUGUGCUGAUGAAAGCACAGACUGGAGAAGGACAGGUUGUGCGAGAGCUGCAGAGCCAGCGUGAACAGCACCCAGAUUGCUGCAUGCAUAUCAAACACCAUCCAGAGCGACGGUAUAUAAAUAGCAUCUUAAUGAGGAGGCGCUUGGUUUAAACAGGCGUGCAUUGUUCCAAUGGGCUGACUCAACCAAGGACAGCGUAGGCUGUGGAGACAGAGCCCCCUUCCAAACCCUAAUGAUGACCCUUGGGAGUCGAGGGUGGAGGCACAGCUCUGGCUGCAGCGCUAGCCCUGGGAGGUAUAGUUUUGGCCUUCAACAUUCCCUGGCAGUGAGUUCCACAGGUUGACUCUGCUGUGUGAAGACAUAAUCAAGCUGCCUCUGUCUUGCGGAUAAACUCACAAAUUGAGCUCUUUAACUCUCUCCUGUAAGGCAUUUUUUUCCCCAUGUCUUAAUUUUUGUGGCUCUAUUCUGCACCCUCUCCAAUUUUUCAACAUCUUUUUUUAAAAACGUGGGACACCAGACCUGGUCAUGGUAUUCCCGCCUGGGUCUCAUUAAUGCCGUAUAGAGAGGUAAAGUCCCUGCCCUGUUUAUAUGCCCAAGGCCCGCAUUAGCCCUUUUUGCCACAGCAUUGCCCUGGGAGCUCAUGUUCACUUGUGUGACCCCCUAAAACCUUUUUUCAGCAUCACUUUUUCCAGGAUAUAGUCUCCCAUUCCUUGAUCCUAGCUGGGUGACCUUGUAUUGGGCUGUAUGAAAACUAGGAUGACCAGAUGUCCUAAUUUUACAGGGACAGUCCCGAUUUUUUUCUUAUAUAGGCUCCUAUUACCCCCUGUCCCAAUUUUUCACAUUUGCUGUCUGGUCACUCACCCUAAUGAAAACACAUUUUGUAGGAAUGGACCUAGUUUAGAAAGCAAUCUCUGACUGUCCCCCUCAUUCUUUACCACUCUGCAAAAUCCAUAAUCUUAUAAGCAGUGACUUUAUAUUUAUAUUUACCUCCAGAAAGCAGAUAAAAAUGUUGAAAAGCAUCGGGGACCAGCACCAAUCUUUGUGGAAUUCCACUAGAAACACCCUUUGUGAUUCCCCAAUAACAGCUACUUUUUUGACAUCUAGUUCCUGAUCCAUUUAAAGUGGGCUUCACAGGGGUAACUGAAUCAUUCAGCGGGGAUGUGCCUUUCCCCAGAUCACAUCACCAAAGCCCAGCACAGAACCCUGGCCUCCUGCCUCCCUGUCCCAUGGUUGUGCCCUUAGAGGAAGUUGUUUCUCUUAGAAUCAUCCUCUUCGACUUCUAAAGUCCUUGGGGCAGUGCAGCUGUACCCUUUGCUGUUUGCAUAGCUCCUGGCAUUCCCAGGGCACUGCUAGAAAUAAGUAAAUACUGAAUAAUCUAAUCAGAGAUCAGACAGGAGAGCCCUGCAAUCAUAUCUCACAUUCCUAUAGGCCCCCUUUAAGAUCUGGGUCAGCUGCUCCACACCCGAAUCUUCCAAUGUAGCUUUUCUUUUCUAUAUUUGAUCUUAGCUCGUCCCUCCUGUGCUUCUGUAUGGGGGAAAGUGUGUUAGCACCUUGGAGAAUUAAGGCCUAAACAUAAAAUUCCCCAUUCAGUUAGCGGCCAUUCUAGCAGAGUGUCAGAAUAAUGAGCAAUAGCCGAUCUCUGCACUCUUCCAGCUUUCAGACUGAUUUUAAGGCUUCCUAGCCAUAUAUAUCUAUGUACAGUCUAAAAUCGAUUCUGCCCAUCCCACAAAACUCUGUUUCAAUCUGGUGCUUCCACUGAUAAUUCAGAGAGCAGCCUUCUGUGCAGGGAGAGUGAAUGCACAGUGACAAGCCCUGGCUGGGAAUUUAAAGCGGUAUGGGUGGUGGGGGAAUAUCCCACCUCACCAAACCACUGUGCAAACAUCCAACAAACUGUCUGUUUGCAUUUCCCUUUAUCUUCUGCUCUAGUUGUGGGUCAGUUUUCUUUCCCUAUUUGUUUUGCUUGUUAGUCAUUUACAACAUGACGCUAACAAGACCGAGCUGCUCUUGGACACGGAGAACAGCAGAGGCAUGAAGGAGUUCAUCCUACCCAUGCAAGGUUGAGCCCAGGAAAUUCAUCCAGGAGGCUCCCCUGGGUUCUUCCAUUGGCAGUGGGGUUUACCCAUCCUGCAGGAGAAACCUUGGAUCAGGCCCAUGAAUGCCUAGUGUCUCCUGUGACUGCAGCAGCUCAGGUUCACACUUGCCACCCCCUCAUCCGAUUCAGCUCCCUGCCUGUGGCUGCCUCUCUCCCAACUUUUUCACAGGGCGGGUGGGUUCCCCGCUGUGGAUGAUGCAGCUGAAGAAAAGCACAGACUCAAGCUAGGAUAACUUCCCCAACAAUCCCCAUGGAGCAUGAUGUAUGAAUCCCUAGACUACUUCCUCAACCACAUAGAUCUCCAACUCUGGGCAAAUGGAGUGGAGGUGGCUGCAGCCCCAAACCCUACCAUCUCCCAUUUCUGCACAAGCAGGGGAAGAUCUGUGGAUGGCGGUUUCCCCUCCACACACUGGCUAUUGGCCCCCAGUUAUAAUAGGGUUACCAUACGUCCGGAUUUUCGGGCUCCAAAUCCCCAUCCGGGGGGAAAUCCCAAAAAGCCGGACAUGUCCGGGAAA